UAGAUAUGUAUAGGGAUAAGGAGACAGGGAUACUGGAUGAUGAGGUAGAUAUGUAUAGGGGUAAGGUGACAGGGAUACUGGAUGAUGAGGUAGAUAUGUAUAGAGGUAAGGAGACAGGGAUACUGGAUGAUGAGGUAGAUAUGUCUAGGGGUAAGGUAACUAGGCAACAGGAUAUAAGACAAACAGAGUAGCAGCUUCUUGUAUGUGAGUGUGUGUGCUGUGUGUAGUCAGUAUAAAUGUAUAUAUUUUGGACACAGCUACUCAUUGCAGGGUUUUUCUUUAUUAUUUACUCUUUUCUACAUUGUAGAAUAAUAGGGAAGACAUUACAACUAUGAAAUAACACAUAUGGAG
ensembl:lncRNA